rnacentral:tRNA from 1 species
GGCUGUAGCUCAGUGGUAGAGUGCCAGCCUCGCAUGUAGGAGACACUGGGUUUGAUCCUCAGCACCA